rnacentral:rRNA from 1 species
AACGAACGCUGGCGGCAUGCCUAACACAUGCAAGUCGAACGAAGGCUUCGGCCUUAGUGGCGCACGGGUGCGUAACGCGUGGGAAUCUGCCCUUGGGUUCGGAAUAACUCAGAGAAAUUUGAGCUAAUACCGGAUGAUGACGUAAGUCCAAAGAUUUAUCGCCCAAGGAUGAGCCCGCGUAAGAUUAGCUAGUUGGUAGGGUAAUGGCCUACCAAGGGUACGAUGGGUAGCUGGUCUGAGAGGAUGAUCAGCCACACUGGAACUGAGACACGGUUCAGACUCCUACGGGAGGCAGCAGUGGGGAAUAUUGGACAAUGGGCGAAAGCCUGAUCCAGCCACGCCGCGUGGGUGAUGAAGGCCUCGGUUGUAAGACCUCGUCGGAGGGACGGAAGUCAAUAGACGGUACCGUCCCAACGAAAGACACCGGCGUAACUACCGUCGCCAGCAGCCGCGGUAAC